rnacentral:lncRNA from 10 species
CUUGGCUCCUUCAUGAGGAACACAUUCUAAGACCAACCAUAUGCUCCGUCAUAAAGCAAGUCUCAAUAAAUUAGAAAAAAAUUGAAAUCAUGCCAAGCACAAUCUUGGGCCACAGUACAGUAAAAAUAGAAAUCAAUACCAAGAAGAGCUCUCAAAACUGCACAAAUACAUGGAAAUUAAACAACUUACUCCAGAAUAAUUCUUGAGCAAACAAUGAAAUUAAGGCAAAAAUUUAAAAACUUCUUUGAAAUUAAUGAAAAUAAGAACAGAACUUACCAAAAUCUGUGGGAUGCAGCUAAAGCAGUAUUAAGAGGAAAGUUUAUAGCACUAAACACCUUUAUCCAGAAAUUAGAAAGAUCUCAAAUUAACAGUCUAACAUUACACCUAGAGGAACUAGAAAAAAAGAACAAACCAACCCCAAAGCUAGCAGAAUAAAAGAAUGGACUAAAAUCAGAGAAGAACUGAACAAAACUGAGAUGCAGAAAUCCAAACAAAAGAUCAGUGAAACCAAGAACUGGUUCUUUGAAAGAAUAAACAAGAUUGAUAGGCUGCUAGGUAGAUGAAGGAAGAAAAAAAAGAAAAAUGAAGAGAAGAUCCUAAAAAGCACAAUUAGAAAUGACAAAGAUGACAUUACAACCAAUCUCACAGAAAUACAAAAGAUCCUCAGAGACUAUUAUGAACACCACUAUGGACACAAAUUAGAAAAUAUAGAGGAAAUAGAUAAAUUCAUGGAAACACACAACCUCCCAAGAUUGAAUCAGGAAGAAAGUGAAAACCUGAACAGACCAACAUCAAGUUCCAAAACUGAAUCAGAAAACAAACAAACAAACAAACCCUACUAACCAAAACAAAACCCUGGACCAGGUGGAUUCACACAGGUGGAUUCACAGCUGAAUUCUACCAGAUGUAUAAGGAAGAACUGGUACCAAUCCUACUGAAACUAUUCCCAAAAAUUGAGGAGGAGGGCUCCUCCCUAACUCAUUCUAUGAAUCUAGACUCAGCCUAAUACCAAAAUUUUGGAGAUACACAAUGAAAAAAGAAAACUUCAGACCAACGUCCCUGAUGAGCAUAGACACAAAUAUUUUCAACAAAAUACUAGCAAACUGAAACCAGCAGCACAUCAAAAAGUUAAUUCACCAUAAUCAAGUGGGCUUUAUUCCUGGGGUGCAAGGUUGGUUCAACAUACAAAAAUCAAUAAAUGUGACUCACCACAUAAACAGAAUUAAAAAUAAUAACCAUAUGAUCAUCUCAACAGAUUCAGAAAAAUCUUUUGACAAAAUCUAACAUCACUUCAUGAUAAAAAAAACCAACACACUAGGCACUGAAGGAACAUACCUCAAAAUAAUAAGAGCCCUCUGUAACAAGCUCACAGUCAAUAUCAUACUGAAUGGGCAAAAGCUGGAAUCAUUUCCCUUGAGAAUUGGAACAAGACUGGGUGCUCACUCUUAGCACUCCUAUUCAACAUAGUACUGGAGUCUUAGCCAGAGCAAUCAGGCAAGAGAAGAAAAUAAAAGGCAUCCAUAUAAGAAAAGAAGAAGUCAAACUGUCUUUGCUGACCACAUGAUACUAUACCUAGAAAAGCCUAAAGACUCUGCAAAAAAGCUCCUAGAACUGACAAAUGAUUUCAGUAGAGUUUCAGAAUACAAAAUCAUGUAAAAAAUCAGUAGCAUUUCUAUAUACCUGUAACGUUCUAGCUGAGAGCCAAAUCAAGAACACAAUACCAUUUGCAGUAGCCACAAAAAAACUUGAAACACCUAAGAAUACAGCUACCAGAGGAGGUGAAAGAUCUCUACAAGGAGAACUACAAAACAGUGCUGACAGAAGUCAGAGAUGAUACAAAUAAAUGGAUAAACAUUCUAUUUUCAUGGAUCGAAAGGAUCAAUAUCAUUAAAAUGGCCAUACUGUCCAAAGCAAUUUAGAGAUUCAAUGAAACUACUGAUGUUCUUUUUCACAGAAUGAGAAAAAUGUAUUCUAAAAUUUAUAUGAAUCCAUGGAAGAGUCCAAAUAGCCAAAGCAAUCCUAAACAAAAAGAACAAAGCUGUAGGCAUCACAUCACAACUUCAAACAAUACUAUAAGGCUACAGUAACCAAAACAGCAUGGUAUUGGUACAUAAACAGCCAUAUAAACCAAUGGAACUGGUUAGAGACCUCAGAAGUACAGCCACACACCUACAACUGUCUGAUCUUCAAAAAAGUCAACAAAGACAAGAAAUUGGAAAAGAACUCCCUAUUUAAUAAAUAGUGUGGAGAUAACUGGCUAGCCAUAUGCAGAAGAAUGAAACUGUACCCAUACCUUUCACCAUAAACAAAAAUUAACUCAAGAUGGAUUAAAAAUUUCUGUUUAAGACCUUACUUUGUAAAAAUCAUAGGAAAAAAACUAGGAAAUACCCUCUGAACAUUGGCCUUGGCAAAUAAUUUAUGAAUAACUCCCCAAAAGCAAUUGCAACAAAAAUAAAAAUAGACAAGUGGGACCUAAUUAAACUAAAGUCCUUUUGCACAUCAAAGGAAACUAUCAACACAGUAACCUACAGAAGGAGAAACUUCCUAGACAACCUACAGAAUGAGAAAAAAUAUUCACAUACUAUGCAUCCAACAAAGAUCUAAUAUCCAGAAUCUAUAAGAAACUUAAAUCAACAAGCAAAAACCAAACAAUCCCAUUAAAAAUGGGCAAAGGAAAUGAACAGACACUUUUCAAAAGAAGACAUAGAAGCAGCCAACAAACUUGAAAAAAUUCUCAUUAUCAUGAAUCAUCAGAGAAAUGCUGACCAUAAUCACAAUGAGAGACCAUCUCACACCAG